AUUGAACGCUGGCGGCAGGCCUAACACAUGCAAGUCGAGCGAGCGGCGGACGGGUGUGUAAUGUCUGGGAAACUGCCUGAUGGAGGGGGAUAACUACUGGAAACGGUAGCUAAUACCGCAUACCAUCAGAUGGGCCCAGAUGGGAUUAGCUAGUAGGUGGGGUAACGGCUCACCUAGGCGACGAUCCCUAGCUGGUCGGAGAGGAUGACCAGCCACACUGGAACGGAGACACGGGCCAGACGCCUACGGGAGGCAGCAGUGGGGAAGAUUGCAAAAUGGGCGCAAGCCUGAUGCAGCCAUGCCGCGUGUGUGAAGAAGGCCUUCGGGUUGUAAAGCACGUUCAGCGGGGAGGCGUUACCCGCAGAAGAAGCACCGGCUAACUCAGUGCAAGCAGCCGCGGUAAUAC
rnacentral:rRNA from 1 species